UACCAGCACCCCGAGUGGUCGGGACGAUUAUUGGGCCUAAAGCAUCCGUAGCCGGUCAUGCAAGUCCUCCGUUAAAUCCACCUGCUUAACAGAUGGGCUGCGGAGGAUACUACAAGGCUAGGAGGCGGAAGAGGCAAGCGGUACUCAGUGGGUAGGGGUAAAAUCCUCUGAUCCAAUGAAGACCACCAGUGGCGAAGGCGGCUUGCCAAUACGCGCUCGACGGUGAGGGAUGAAAGCUGGGGGAGCAAACCGG
rnacentral:rRNA from 1 species